rnacentral:rRNA from 1 species
ACGUACGCUGGCGGCACGCCUAACACAUGCAAGUCGAACGAAGUAGCAAUACUUAGUGGCAGACGGGUGAGUAACAUGUAGGUAUCUGCCCUUUGGCCUGGAAUAACACGAGGAAACUUGUGCUAAUACCGGAUAAGUCUUUACGGAGAAAGCUUUAUGCACCAUUGGAUGAGCCUGCACUAGAUUAGUUUGUUGGUGGGGUAAUGGCCUACCAAGACUAUGAUCUAUAGCUGAUUUGAGAGGAUGAUCAGCCACAUUGGAACUGAGACACGGUCCAAACUCCUACGGGAGGCAGCAGUAGGGAAUCUUUGC